rnacentral:rRNA from 1 species
AGCCACACCUCUAAGAAUUAAAACACUAACAUAAAAUGAUCCAUGAUCUGAUCAAUGAACCAAGUUACCCUGGGGAUAACAGCGCAAUCCAUUUCAAGAGCCCUUAUCGACAAGUGGGUUUACGACCUCGAUGUUGGAUCAGGGUAUCCUAGUGGUGCAGCAGCUACUAAUGGUUCGUUUGUUCAACGAUUAAAGCCCUACGUGAUCUGAGUUCAGACCGGAC